GAAUAACUAGCACCUUAAGAUGACACCGGGAAACCUCGAGGGUGACGCAGGCCUUGGGAUCUAAGGAGACAGUGGCUCAUUUGUCGGUGCUCUACACUUAGCUGCCUGUCUUCCCACACUUACGGCUUCUCCUCAAAGAGCAGGAAUGGCUGUGGAAAGACAACGUCUGAAAAUUCUGCCCGAUGGAUGGAGAGAAGCAUCCUGGCAAGAGACACGGCGCUGCCGGACGAAGAGAUGUACUCCUGACAGAACUGGGACUGUUCACCCAAAGUGAGACAAAGCGAACUGCAAAGC
rnacentral:lncRNA from 13 species